AGAGUUUGAUCCUGGCUCAGGACGAACGCUGGCGGCGUGCCUAACACAUGCAAGUCGAGCGGAGAACAGGGAAGUGCUUGCACGGAACUGUUUUUAGCGGCGGACGGGUGAGUAACGCGUGAACAAGCUGUCCUUCACAGGGGGAUAACACUUGGAAACAGGUGCUAAUACCGCAUAAGACCACAGGGGUGCAUGCUCCGGGGGUCAAAGGAGCAAUCCGGUGAGGGGUGCGUUCGCGUCCCAUUAGAUAGUUGGCGGGGCAACGGCCCACCAAGUCGACGAUGGGUAGCCGACCUGAGAGGGUGAUCGGCCACACUGGGACUGAGACACGGCCCAGACUCCUACGGGAGGCAGCAGUGGGGAAUAUUGGGCAAUGGGCGAAAGCCUUACCCAGCAACGCCGCGUGAGGGAAGAAGGUUUUCGGAUUGUAAACCUCUGUCCUGGGGGACGAAGGAAGUGACGGUACCCCGGAGAAGCCCCGGCUAACUACGUGCCAGCAGCCGCGGU
rnacentral:rRNA from 1 species